GGAGUCUGGACCGUGUCUCAGUUCCAGUGUGGGGGACCUUCCUCUCAGAACCCCUAGACAUCGUCGCCUCGGUGGGCCGUUACCCCGCCGACUAGCUAAUGUCACGCGAGCCCAUCCGCAUCCGCCGCAGCUUUCAAACGGUAAUCAUGCGGUCACCGUUGUUACGGGGUAUUAGACGUCGUUUCCAACGCUUAUCCCCCUGAUGCGGGCAAGUUGCUCACGCGUUACGCACCCUUCCGCCGGUCGCCGCCAGAGUAUUGCUACUCCGCGCUGCCCCUCGACUUGCAUGUGUUAAGCCUGCCGCUAGCGUUCAUC
rnacentral:rRNA from 1 species